rnacentral:rRNA from 1 species
AUUGAACGCUGGCGGCAGGCCUAACACAUGCAAGUCGAGCGGCAGCGGGAAAGUAGCUUGCUACUUUUGCCGGCGAGCGGCGGACGGGUGAGUAAUGCCUGGGAAAUUGACCAGUCGAGGGGGAUAACAGUUGGAAACGACUGCUAAUACCGCAUACGCCCUACGGGGGAAAGCAGGGGACCUUCGGGCCUUGCGCGAUUGGAUAUGCCCAGGUGGAUUAGCUAGUUGGUGAGGUAAUGGCUCACCAAGGCGACGAUCCCUAGCUGGUCUGAGAGGAUGAUCAGCCACACUGGAACUGAGACACGGUCCAGACUCCUACGGGAGGCAGCAGUGGGGAAUAUUGCACAAUGGGGGAAACCCUGAUGCAGCCAUGCCGCGUGUGUGAAGAAGGCCUUCGGGUUGUAAAGCACUUUCAGCGAGGAGGAAAGGUUGAUGCCUAAUACGUAUCAACUGUGACGUUACUCGCAGAAGAAGCACCGGCUAACUCCGUGCCAGCCGCCGCAGUAACAC